CCUACGGGAGGCUGCAGUAGGGAAUCUUCCACAAUGGGCGAAAGCCUGAUGGCGCAACGCCGCGUGGGUGAAGAAGGUCUUCGGAUCGUAAAACCCUGUUGUUAGAGAAGAAAGUGCGUGAGAGUAAGUGUUCACGUUUCGACGGUAUCUAACCAGAAAGCCACGUCUAACUACGUGCCAGCAGCCGCGGUAAUACGUAGGUGGCAAGCGUUAUCCGGAUUUAUUGGGCGUAAAGGGAACGCAGUCGGUCUUUUAAGUCUGAUGUGAAACCUUUCGGCUUAACCGGAGUAGUGCAUUGGAAACUGGGAGACUUGAGUGCAGAAGAGGAGAGUGGAACUCCAUGUGUAGCGGUGAAAGGCGUAGAUAUAUGGAAGAACACCAGUGGCGAAAGCGGCUCACUGGUCUGUAACUGACGCUGAGGUUCGAAAGCGUGGGUAGCAAACAGGAUUAGAUACCCGUGUAGUC
rnacentral:rRNA from 1 species